UCUUCUAUAGCUCAGCGGUAGAGCGGGUGACUGUUAAUCACCAGGUCGUUGGUUCGAAACCAACUAGGGGAG
rnacentral:tRNA from 1 species